GAUGAACGCUGACAGAAUGCUUAACACAUGCAAGUCCACUUGAACUUCGGUUUGGGUGGCGGACGGGUGAGUAACGCGUAAAGAACUUGCCUCACAGAUAGGGACAACAUUUGGAAACGAAUGCUAAUACCUGAUAUUAUGAUUAUAUGGCAUCGUAUAAUUAUGAAAGCUAUAUGCGCUGUGAGAGAGCUUUGCGUCCCAUUAGCUAGUUGGAGAGGUAACGGCUCACCAAGGCGAUGAUGGGUAGCCGGCCUGAGGGGGUGAUCGGCCACAAGGGGACUGAGACACGGCCCUUACUCCUACGGGAGGCAGCAGUGGGGAAUAUUGGACAAGGGACCAAGAGUCUGAUCCAGCAAUUCUGUGUGCACGAUGAAGUUUUUCGGAAUGUAAAGUGCUUUCAGUUGGGAAGAAAAAAAUGACGGUACCAACAGAAGAAGUGACGGCUAAAUACGUG
rnacentral:rRNA from 1 species